rnacentral:misc_RNA from 1 species
AAAAUACUUUAUGUGCAUCGAUCAGAUCAAUUACAGGGUACCUAAUCUAGUUCUUUUUUCUGAUUUCUGAAGAGCUAAGAUACACCAUAGCCAUUUUGUGCUUAAUUGUUGAUGGUUAACCUUGUUACUUUGGCUAACAGUGUAUACAAUAUGCUUUUGCGUCUUAUAUUGAUAACCGGCUUUUCUGAAAAGUAGUUUAUGG